UGGCUAGCGGCGGGCGCGCGCGUGGCCUGGGCCGGUCAGGUUCGGCGCGCGAGAUGGGUUGGGCCGGUUCGGCCCAUUUGGCCGGGUUGGUCCGGUUUUCCCCCUUUUUUCUUUUUCUUUUUCCUUUUUCUGAUUUCUUUGAUAUCUUUUUAUUUUGAACUCCAAAUUGAUCCAAAUAAAUUCCAGAAAAAAUUUUAAAUCUUUUUUUAUCAUGAUUCAAAUUUUGGGAGUAAUUUCCCCUCAAAAUAAAAUAUUUAAAAAUACAUUUGCCCUAUAAAUGCCUUUAGGGCUAUAUAUCUAUUUAAAUAAAAUAGUUUUUCAACUCCAAAUAAAUAUCCAAAAAAUUAUGGAAUAGCUUAUUUAUGCAAUAAACCCCAUUUAU
rnacentral:lncRNA from 1 species